UGAGUGGUGUUUGGUUUGUUACGGGUGGUUGGCUCUUUGCUUGCGCAACAACUUCUACCUGGCAUACCUCUUCAGUCUUGUGUCAAUGCUUGUAUUGCAUUGAAUGCACGGUGGGUUUCUUGUGUUGCAUGCCUAAUUUAAUGGUAUUGCUUGAUGAAUUGGUUUUCCUUUCGUUUUGCAUUGCCUAUGCGAUGUGAGAUGAACCUUGAAGCAGCCUUUGUGAUCCACUGAUUUGAUGCAUAUGCAUUGAUUUUGUGGCCCAUUGAGUGUUGCUCGGUCUCAUGGAUAUGGAACCUGGUGUGGGCAUGGAAUCUUAAUGGUUCCUUGUUUGCCCAAGUUUAGCUUUUCUAAAACGAUUGUCUAUCAUGUGUUAACAUGCUAGACUACUUCGAAUAUGAAUGCUAC
rnacentral:misc_RNA from 1 species